rnacentral:tRNA from 1 species
AAGAAAGACAGAAGAACUGCUAACUCUUCACACUACAUCUAAUACA